GCAAGUCGAACGAGAAAGCGGGCUUCGGCCCGUCAGUACAGUGGCAGACGGGUGAGUAACACGUGGGUAACCUGCCCGGAGGUGGGGGAUAACUCUCGGAAACGGGGGCUAAUACCGCAUGAUAUCUCAGAGGCUUCGGCCUUUGAGAUCAAAGCUAGCCUCUUCUUGAAAGCUAGCGCCACCGGAGGGGCUCGCGGCCCAUUAGCUUGUUGGUGAGGUAACGGCUCACCAAGGCUCCGAUGGGUAGCCGGCCUGAGAGGGCGAUC
rnacentral:rRNA from 1 species